ensembl:lncRNA
CGCGUAGGAGGAAAAUAAUCCGUGCUGCAGCCAAAAAGUAGCUUCGACCGAGGUUUUAUUAUGGACCGUCUACCUCUGCGGUAUUAGCAGCUAGUUGUAUAGAUUAAAAAUAGUUCUCUUAGCCAUUUAGUUCAUCUUCCUUGUGUUUUGGUUUAUUUACUCAUCUAAUAAAUUAAGCUUUUGCCUUUUAUUGUGGUCAAAAUCGGUCGGCAGAUAGUGAGAUCAAACUGAUUUUGUCAGCAUUCAAGCUAGACAAAGCGCCGGUUUACGUUAAUUGCGUAGAGAAGAGUGCUAUUUGCUCACCACGAAUCUAGCGGUGAGUUAGCUGACCUAGUUAAUAAAGCAGCUGAUUUCAGUAUUGUGUAGCCUGGGUCGGUUAUAUAAAGCAUUACAAAUUCAUAUAGUGUGUUAAUAUACUAAACCGAAAUAAUUGAUUGCAUGCAGUUAUAACGCUGAUUACUUGUACUAACGCUAUAAGACGUGCAGGAAGACUAAAUGGACGGAGCUCCAGUGGCGCAAUCGGUUAGCGCGCGGUACUUAUACAGCAGUACAAUGCAGAGCAAUGCCGAGGUUGUGAGUUCGAGCCUCACCUGGAGCACAGCUUUUGGAAACCGAAUUGCUUGUUUUUUGAGUUAUUUCUGUUUGUUGGAUCUUACAUGAUGCAGUAAUGACUUCAAAUAUCCUAUUACCCCACAGGACUGGUGGAGGCCAGGAUACAAUUAACAUGAGAUCAGUGGAAAGCAAUGUCUGUGCCGAGAAAGGAGCUGCAUUGAGCAGAACAAACAUUAACACACUGGAGCUGUACAGACAUGAGUGUUUUCCAGUGCAGCUUGGCUGCCUUCUGUCUAGUGGUAACAGGUUUGACUUGGCAUCUCUCCAGCCUCCAGCUGCCUGUUGCUACAGCCUGGGAACAUCCUGUCUGCCUCACAGCAGAACAGGAGCAAUACACACUCACGUAACUGAACAGUUAUAAAUACACUACCA